GUGUCAGCAGCCGCGGUAAUACGGAAGGGGCAAGCGUUGUUCGGAAUCAUUGGGCGUAAAGGGCGCGUAGGUGGUUUUGUAUGUCUCCCGUGAAAGGCCACGGCUCAACUGUGGGGUGUCGGGAGAAACUGCAGGACUUGAGGCUGGGAGGGGCUGGUGGAAUUCCCUGUGUAGCGGUGAAAUGCGUAGAGAUGGGGGAGAACACUCGUGGCGAAGGCGGCCAGCUAGACCAGUUCUGACACUGAGGCGCGACAGCGUGGGGAGCAAACAGGAUUAGAUACCCGAGUAGUCC
rnacentral:rRNA from 1 species